rnacentral:rRNA from 1 species
CGGAGGGUGCAAGCGUUAUCCGGAUUCACUGGGUUCAAAGGGAGCGUAGGUGGGCUUGUAAGUCAGUGGUGAAAUCUCUGGGCUUAACCCGGAAACUGCCAUUGAUACUAUAGGUCUUGAAUUCUCUGGAGGUAAGCGGAAUAUGUCAUGUAGCGGUGAAAUGCUUAGAUAUGACAUAGAACACCCAUUGCGAAGGCAGCUUACUACGGAGACAUUGACACUGAGGCUCGAAAGCGUGGGGAUCAAACAGGAUUAGAUACCCUGGUAGUCCACGCCCUAAACGAUGAUUACUCGACAUUAGCGAUAUUACUGUUAGUGUCUAAGCGAAAGCAUUAAGUAAUCCACCUGGGAAGUACGACCGCAAGGUUG